UAGGGAAAACAGAAAGGUUGCAAAUCUCCUGACAGAACAGUGCAUAGACUGCAGGCUGUGAUUCCUAUUUAAAACAGAGUGUCCGAUGUACAGAUUCACUUGAUUUGUAUUUAAAUGGGGAAGUGUGCUACCAGCUAGCAAAAGCUUUAUGUGGGAGAAAGAGAUGAAAACUGGUGCCAAAGAAUAGUGAGAGCCAUCACUGCCUUAUCACCUAUCUCUGGAGCUAUGCGUAACUCCCCAGCCAGACACUAAGCUGAGCUCAGGGCCUGAAGAAAUAAAAAGAAACAACAAAUAAUGACUGGAAGUUACUAUAAUGAAAGCCAGGUAAAUUAAAAUGUUUCAUUUCUAAAUCCAGAAAAUUCAAUGUAAGUGCUGCGAUAUAAUAAAUGUUUCUUUGUUUUCCCUAGGGCUUUCAUAGCAAACAGUUGUUCUUUGUCAGCUGUAUUGCUGACUGUACGGAGAUUUGUAUAUAGUAUGGAAAAGCACAGAAUAUGUCCCGUGCAGGUACUGUGAAGAUAUUCCCUGACCCACUAUUGCACCUGUACCCUGAGAGAUUCUGUCCUGAGGAGCCACAGGAAUUCAAGUCUUCUCAUCACUCUCUCUUUUUCUUUUCUCUUCUUUUUUUUUUUUUUUUUUCCUAUUUUUAAAAUAUGUGAGUUUGAAUCCUGACUUGAGCAGGUUGAGUUGGGAUUUUGAAUUCGCAGCCCAGUCACUCAGAAUGUCAAUUGUCUUCCAGGGCACUGCACUGUGAGUCCCAAGGCUGGAAGCUCUUUAAAAGACCAUUUGACUUUUAAAGGAGCACUCACAGGAUAAUAUGUAUCUUUUAGCUCUUUCUAAAUCUACCAAGUGUGAUUGAUUUAUCAAUAUGUAGCAACUAAUGCUUAAAUAAAGGGACAUGUCUUCACCAGUGGUGUUGAGAUGCUUCGUUAGAAAAUUUGAAAUAAUUUCUAAAGGCAUUAACUUCCAUAAUACUGCUAGUUAGCUGUUCCCAGCUCCCUUGGGUCACAAUGAGGUACUAAGCUACCUGACAGGCUUUGCUUAAAUCUGUGGCCCUGGCACGCUGCUGUCUAGUUUGGGGUUUUCAGAAAUUAAAUUUAAUACAGGGUUUGAAUAGAAGAGUGCUGGUGCAGUGUCUCCUGUCUGUUUCUCAGAUGGUGAUGGGUUAUUCCCUGCCGUACUGUUUCCCAGUGUUUU